rnacentral:rRNA from 1 species
GACGAACGCUGGCGGCGUGCUUAACACAUGCAAGUCGAACGGAAAGGCCCUGCUUUUGUGGGGUGCUCGAGUGGCGAACGGGUGAGUAACACGUGAGUAACCUGCCCUUGACUUUGGGAUAACUUCAGGAAACUGGGGCUAAUACCGGAUAGGAGCUCCUGCUGCAUGGUGGGGGUUGGAAAGUUUCGGCGGUUGGGGAUGGACUCGCGGCUUAUCAGCUUGUUGGUGGGGUAGUGGCUUACCAAGGCUUUGACGGGUAGCCGGCCUGAGAGGGUGACCGGCCCAGUUGGGUAGGGGAGGCGGCCGAGGCCACUAGGGGGGGAAGGGGGGGAGAAUUUUGCAGAAGGGGCGGAAGCGUGAUGAAGGACCGCCGGGGGGGGAAUGCGGGCCUUGGGGUUGAAAACCGUUUUCGCCUGGGACGAAGGGUGAGAGGGGGUAUAGGGAAAAAAACACCGGGAACAAUACG